rnacentral:rRNA from 1 species
AACGGGUGAGUAACACGUGAGUAACCUGCCCUUAACUCUGGGAUAAGCCUGGGAAACUGGGUCUAAUACCGGAUAGGAGCGCCUACCGCAUGGUGGGUGUUGGAAAGAUUUAUCGGUUUUGGAUGGACUCGCGGCCUAUCAGCUUGUUGGUGAGGUAAUGGCUCACCAAGGCGACGACGGGUAGCCGGCCUGAGAGGGUGACCGGCCACACUGGGACUGAGACACGGCCCAGACUCCUACGGGAGGCAGCAGUGGGGAAUAUUGCACAAUGGGCGCAAGCCUGAUGCAGCGACGCCGCGUGAGGGAUGACGGCCUUCGGGUUGUAAACCUCUUUCAGUAGGGAAGAAGCGAAAGUGACGGUACCUGCAGAAGAAGCACCGGCUAACUACGUGCCAGCAGCCGCGGUAAUACGUAGGGUGCGAGCGUUAUCCGGAAUUAUUGGGCGUAAAGAGCUCGUAGGCGGUUUGUCGCGUCUGUCGUGAAAGUCCGGGGCUUAACCCCGGAUCUGCGGUGGGUACGGGCAGACUAGAGUGCAGUAGGGGAGACUGGAAUUCCUGGUGUAGCGGUGGAAUGCGCAGAUAUCAGGAGGAACACCGAUGGCGAAGGCAGGUCUCUGGGCUGUAACUGACGCUGAGGAGCGAAAGCAUGGGGAGCGAACAGGAUUAGAUACCCUGGUAGUCCAUGCCGUAAACGUUGGGCAC